rnacentral:rRNA from 1 species
AUGGAUGAUGAUGAUUUAAUAGUCAAGGGGCUUCCACAGCUCUCUGCCAUUUGUGUUACCAUUAGCAGAAGGUACAUGCUUGAAGAAGCUAUUAAGCGGAUCCAUGGUACAAUUCAUGCAUUCGAGCUCACUGAUGAUAAUGACGACACAGUAAUGGCAUCAGUGAAAAUUGAUCUCCAGCCCCACAGCCAAAGCAUGUUGCCAACCCAACAGCUGUUCUUUGGAGAAUCAACUUGGUUUGCCAACGAUGCUAUCGAAUCAACAUGUUCUGCUGCUUUGGCCUAUCUGGUAACCAUGGGCAUCAUCACAAUAGACAAUUCCAACUCGACAAGCCUCAAGAAAUGCCAAAGGGAGCUCAAAGCUGAGCAGUUCUGGUCAUCAGUGCUAUUUGUGCGGGCAGAAUCCUUUCAAAAACAGCUCGCCUCUUUGACCGCGACAAAGGAAGGGCCUCAUUCAGAAAGUGACGAUGAUAACACUCCAGCACCCAAAUGUGUAAACGAAUUAGAGGAUGGCCUGAACGACGCCACCAGCUCGCUUCCACCAACCGAAGAAGCAUCCGACAAUGAACCGGAUCACAGGCCCAACAAGAAAACAAAGUCUCAGUCAAAGACUAAAUGGACAGGUCAAAUGAUACAUAGACGGAGAUCACGCUGGAAUUUUGCCCUCUGUCUAUGCCUCAAGUAUCGAUGA